UAAAAUAAGUUUUAUUAUGUUUAUGUAAUUUAAUUUAAUUUAUUUUUAAAUAAAUUACAUAAACAUAAUAAAACUUACCUCCUUGUAAGUGAAGUGGUAGGUUCUUCGCUGCAUCUUGCAACUCUUCAUCUGACAUUAGUAUACCUGGUAUUAUUACUAUGUUGCUGAAAAUAGCGUUAUUAUACAUAGUGCAACAGAAAUAAGUGCCGAACAGGAGGUGAUAAAGCACUAUAAAACAUGAAAACUAUGUAAAUGUUUAUGUCCAGUAGUCGUACAGUGACUGGUGAGUGAAAGUAGCGAAGAAAGGCGGUUAGUACCGUUAAAUUUAUCAUUGAAUUUCCAAAAAGUUUUGAAAUUUUUAUGCAAACCAUGCACUAUUUUCGGGAUAUUUAUGAUAGAGAACACGCGAAUAUUUUUAAGCAUUAAGCUCUAUACAUUUAAAUUAAUUAAAAACUAAUUCGUCAUUAGUGCUUUUUCAUGUACAAUGCAAGGUCUUCUUCGAGUGGCGAGCUUCUUCAGCGGAGAUAGAAGAAGAAUUUGAGAUGCAACAGACAUCACUUCCAGCAAAUUUAACAGAACUAGUGAAAUGGUCAAGUAACCACUUCAACAAGCACCAAGUCAAGCAGUUAGAAGAACUUCUUAGUCGUUUUGCACAUGUCUUCGCAUUCUCAAAUCAAUAGUCCGGUAGGAUUAAUUUAACAUACCACCGCAUCAACACCAGAACAGAAAAAUUCUUUGGAUGAAGCAAGAGGAAGUCAAUAAUCUAAUAAAAGACAUGCAUAAACAAGGGGUGAUCGAACUAUUUCAAUGUUCUUGGGCCGCCCUAUCAUACUGGAAUGAUUCCGUCAGAUUUAGUGUGGACUGUAGGAAGUUGAACGAUGUAACGCAGGACAAUUGCACAUUAUUCCAAAUCGACGACACAUUAGGCAGCCAAUCUGGAGUUAAAUAGUUCUCCAUUCUCGAUUUGAAUUGGCAAGUGGAAGUGCACCAGCAGUGUAGAAAGACUGCUUUUACGUCUGGAAAUUCAAUGUGAUGCCCUUUGGAUUGUGCAAUGCACUGGCUUCAUUCGAAAGACUCUUAGACACUGUACUAUAAGGACUAAAUUGGAAAAUGGAUGAACGAUUUAAGCAUUUUAUUUGGGAAAGAAUUCAGGCUGCCAACGGAUGUGAUGUUCGGCCUCCCUGAUGAUUCUCCAGUAGUACGUAGUAUGGACGAAUAGUGCGAAAACUUCAAGAAUGACUAGAAGACAUCACAUUCUGGAAUCCUUCUAGAACGAGUGUAACCCACAUAAAUAGUUGCCCGUCCAACAGCUACAAAUGCCGAUAUAGAGUAUAGUUCUAAAAGAUAUUUAUUUGUGUAUGGUUAUACUUGCUUGAAUUAGUUUUUCUAAUAUUUUUAGUUUAAUUUUCCCAUAUAUGUGAUGCUCGAUUAUCUACAUUUCCUACCUUUAGAUCGUUUAUUUAAUUUUUCUCAGAAGAACUAAUAAAUAAUUCACGACAAAAAUGUUCAAGGCUGUAACAAGCAAAUACAAAGUCUGCCCUUGCAUUCCUUACAAUUGAUCUGUAACUGCAUACAACAAAAAAUUGUAUUUCAUAAAAUUGAUUAAUGAAGACAGUUAUUUGGAGAAAAGAUUCAAAUAAACACUAAUAAUGCCAUUUUCAAUAGCUAUUUAAGAAAACUUUAUUUAUUUACAAUACAUUAUUACUAUAAGACAUUAUAUAGGACAUAUAAUAUUAUCAGCGGUACGAUUAGGUAUUAAAGAAUUAAUUAUACAACUCAUAUUUACAAUAAAAGCGAAUGCAAAAGACUUUA
rnacentral:lncRNA from 1 species